AGCAUGUGGUUUAAUUCGAUGAUACGCGAAGAACCUUACCGGGGUUUGACAUGCAGGUGAUCGCCGUUGAAAGACGGUUUCCUCUUCGGAGGCACCUGCACAGGUGCUGCAUGGCUGUCGUCAGCUCGUGUCGUGAGAUGUUGGGUUAAGUCCCGCAACGAGCGCAACCCUUAUCCCUAGUUGCCAUCAGGUAAAGCUGGGAACUCUGGGGAGACUGCCGGUGAUAAACCGGAGGAAGGCGGGAUGACGUCAAGUCCUCAUGGCCCUUACAUCCCGGGCUACACACGUGCUACAAUGGCAGGUACAGAGGGCUGCGAAGCCGCGAGGUGGAGCGAAUCCCACAAAGCCGAUCGUAGUCCGGAUUGUUCUCUGCAACUCGAGAGCAUGAAGUCGGAAUCGCUAGUAAUCGCAGGUCAGCAUACUGCGGUGAAUACGUUCCCGGGUCUU
rnacentral:rRNA from 1 species